GCAAGUCGAACGAGAAAAUCCCUUCGGGGGCGAGUACAGUGGCGCACGGGGGAGGAACGCGUAGGUAAUCCACCCUCUGGCGGGGGAAAACAUUCCGAAAGGAAUGCUAAUACCGCGUAAGACCACGCUCACUACGGUGAAAGUGGUUAAAGGUGCCACAAAGCACCGCCAGAGGACGAGCCUGCGUCCCAUCAGCUUGUUGGUAAGGUAACGGCUUACCAAGCGAAGACGGGUAGCUGGUCUGAGAGGAUGAUC
rnacentral:rRNA from 1 species